rnacentral:rRNA from 1 species
UACGGAGGGUGCAAGCGUUAUCCGGAAUCAUUGGGUUUAAAGGGUCCGCAGGCGGACUUAUAAGUCAGUGGUGAAAGCCUACAGCUCAACUGUAGAACUGCCAUUGAUACUGUAAGUCUUGAAUAUGUUCGGAGUGGGCGGAAUGUGACAUGUAGCGGUGAAAUGCUUAGAUAUGUCACAGAACACCGAUAGCGAAGGCAGCUCACUAGGCCAUUAUUGACGCUCAUGGACGAAAGCGUGGGGAGCAAAC